rfam:Schistosoma margrebowiei strain Zambia genome assembly, scaffold: SMRZ_contig0002585
AUUCAGCUGACGAGUCCCAAAUAGGACGAAAUGCGCGUCCUGGAU